rnacentral:lncRNA from 1 species
CUACUUUCAAGAAAGAAAGAUAACAAAGUUUCUCUUUUCUCAAGCUUGUUCACCGCAAGUCUGCAACUGCUUGGGUUAUCUUGAGAGUUUGAUUUCACGAGAAUUUUAAAAUAAAAUGUGGCAGAUUGACUCUCAUUCGGAGGUACCCAUAUACUCUUCUCAGGUAAAAAUUAUUUAUCUACUAUCAAUUGAGAUAUGGGUAGGAUUUUGAGAUUUGGAUUUUUUUUUAAAAGAAAAUAAAUAAAAGGAUUUUAAAUGCUUGGGCUAUAUUCAAUAAUGUUAUUACAAUAUACUAAGAGCCUUGGAUGUAUUUACUAUGAAUUUAUUAUUGAAAUCAUGAUUAUCCAUUACUGGGCAGUGAUGAAGUUUGGAAGGAAAAAAAAAAUAGAAAACUUCGUAGUUAUAGCUUGUUUUAAUGAGUUGUGGGAUUAAACGUUACAAAUCAAUUUAUUGAGUUAUUACGGACUAAUUAGUGUUUUAGAACCUAAGUGGGAUUUUCCUAGAACAAGAGAACUGUGUAUAUAGUUGUAUUCUUUGGACAUGUAUUAAUUUAAGUUGAACCCAAUUAUCAUGUAGUUAGAGAAAUUGGUGACUUGUGAUUGCCUGAAAAAUACGUGUAGGCAAAGUUGAGCUUGUAAUUGAGGUAAGUUGAGGUUUACUUUUCUAGUAAAAAAUUCCAUUAGAAUCCUUGUGCUCCAUAUGCUAGAUAAAGCUAAGUCAUGUCUUCUCGUGAUCUAAUACUCAGUUCACUUUAUUCUUAUUCAGUACGACCUUAUAUGUGAUAUGAAUGCAUGCUUAUGUAUAUUACCAGUUGUUAUGUGCCUUUAUUUGUGAUAUUCACAUUCAGUUAAGUAUUUAAUUUCAACAUUAAUUCAUGCAUCAAUGUGAUCACAUUCAGUAGGGAGAGUGGCCAACCUCCCCCAGCGUAAGUGCCAUGAUGUCAAGGUUAUCUACCCCACGCUCGUAGGUGCCAACUGUUUGUUGGGGAGAUAGGCCGACACUCCCCCGUACGUGUUCCCAGAUGCUCACGUAUGCAGGGCCAUUAUGCGUAACAAUUAACUUUGCGAAGUUACGUCUUAAAAUAUAUAUAUAUAAGUCAGUUUCUAUUUCAGAUAUUAAUUAUGGGCUCAAUUUCUAUGUUAAGUUUCAGUUUCAACUUACAGUUUAGCUUACAGUUUUAGUUUCCAGCUUAUUACUUGGUUGUAAAAUUUUAUAUGAUUUAUAUGAUUUUCCGUAUAUCCCUUUUCUUUCUUAUUAUUUUCAGAAGGUCUCGCUCCGCUUUUUAGGAGGUAGCAUGUGAGACUUACUAGGUAUUCUUUGGUGGUUACUUAGCCCGUUUGGGCCUGCUACAUCGUGUGGCAGGUAUUGAGGACGCGGGUAACGAGGCACGUGGCUAGAGGAGAUAUUCUAGAUUCAGUUUACAAACUUCGUUGAUUCAUCCCAGCGGUAGCGGACCCUUUUCAGACUAUUAUUUAUAAACUUUCUUUUUACGUUUAUUUUAUUUCCGGGGGAUGCCUCCGUAGGCUAUUUAUUUCAAAUUUUAUUUUCAAAUUCUAGAGGCUCAUGACUUGUUAGUGGGUCAGUAUUAAAAUAUUUUGGGAUUUAUCCUUUAUUUAUUAUAUUUUAUCAGUCUGCUU